AUGUGUAUAAGAGGCAGGUGAGUCAUCGAAUCUUUGAACGCACCUUGCGCCCUCUGGUAUUCCGGAGGGCAUGCCUGUUUGAGUGUCAUGAACACCUCACCCCCUCGGGUUUCCGAUCGGGUGGAUUUGGGUGCUGCCAGUUACAUGGCUCGCCUUAAAAGCAUUAGCGGUUGUAGACUUAAUAAGUUUCGUCUUGUCGACCGCUUCUAAUCUCCUUCGGGAUGUCUUCGGACACUUCAUGAUCUGACCUCAAAUCAGGUAGGACUACCCGCUGAACUUAAGCAUAUCAAUAAGCGGAGG
rnacentral:misc_RNA from 1 species